rnacentral:rRNA from 1 species
AUACGGAGGAUCCGAGCGUUAUCCGGAUUUAUUGGGUUUAAAGGGUGCGCAGGCGGCCAUUUAAGUCAGCGGUUAAAUCUUGGGGCUCAACCCCAUUCUGCCGUUGAUACUGGGUGGCUUGAUUGCGGUCGAGGUUGGCGGAAUUCGUUGUGUAGCGGUGAAAUGCAUAGAUAUGAGGAAGAACACCGAUUGCGUAGGCAGCUGUCCAGAACGCAAAUGACGCUCAUGCACGAAAGGGCGGGGAGCGAACAGGAUUAGAUACCCUGGUAGUCCGCACAGUAAACGAUGAAUGCUUGUUGUCGGCGAUAGAAUGUCGGAGGCAAAGCGAAAGCGAUAAGUAUUCCACCUGGGGAGUACGCCGGCAACGGUGAAACUCAAAGGAAUUGACGGGG